UGGGGAAUCUUGCGCAAUGGGCGAAAGCCUGACGCAGCCAUGCCGCGUGAAUGAUGAAGGUCUUAGGAUUGUAAAAUUCUUUCACCGGGAACGAUAAUGACGGUACCCGGAGAAGAAGCCCCGGCUAACUUCGUGUCAGCAGCCGCGGUAAUACGAAGGGGGCUAGCGUUGCUCGGAAUUACUGGGCGUAAAGGGAGCGUAGGCGGACAUUUAAGUCAGGGGUGAAAUCCCGGGGCCCAACCUCGGAAUUGCCUUUUGUACUGGGUGGCUUGAGUGUGAGAGAAGUAUGGGGAACUCCGAGUGUAGGGGGGAAAUUCGUAGAAAUUCGGAAGGACACCAGUGGCAGAGGCGACAUACUGGCUCAUUACUGACGCUGAGGCUCGAAAGCGUGGGGAGCAAACA
rnacentral:rRNA from 1 species